AUGCCUGAGUAGGUGCUGAUAGCUGCACUUCAGAUACUGCUAGCUGCGACUGAUGGUCUAGACACAUCCUAAUCCACCUUCUAGGCUGUGAUACUAAAUUUGAAAUGGCUUUGGUUGCCCUGGUGGAUGACCUACAUUUGUGAAAGGGCAGAAGGAAUACAAACCUGCACAUGUUCAUGGAACUCUCUGGGGCUUUUGACAGCAUUGUCCAGACCAUCUGAUUUCAGCAGGAGGCAUUGUAUCUGUAUGGAGUCCGGAGAGGCAUGGCUAACAUUCCCUCCAGACUAUUUCUGACAACACUUCUACAAAUUUCUGAUAAGCCAAGCGGAAGAGAUGUAAAUGUGAACUGGAUGAAAUGGAAUCACACCCUAAUCUCUGAAAAUGUCAGCAUUGUGUGCCACAGACAAAGCUUCUUCAAAGCAUCUGAUGUGGGUUUCCACUGCGAUGUGCAGAGUGUUGCCUGGGGUUUCCAAUCAACAGAACAGAGUUCUGCCAGUUUGUCAACCAGCUUAAGACUUCUGAAUCUCCAGAUGUUGCCAGUUUUCAUUCGCGGCAGAUCAAAUUCUAAGAAAAGCAAUGCCUAAACCUUGAAAUUCCAGCAGGUUCCUUGGCUGCCUCAGUAGACUUCACCAUGGCUUCAUCCCAACCUUAGGAUUCUGCCAACACCACUCAUCCGAUUCAGCAAAAAAAAAAAAGUAGUCACCAAGGGAAACAAUGGCGCCCAGCAGAUGCUAAUCUCCACUCAGUCCAUGUUUUUAAGAAACAUGCCUAUCAUAUCUGAAUAGCUGGUGUGAUUUCUGUUUCAUAGCCCAAACAGGAAAGAAUUCAGCAUGGAUCAUCUUUCUCAGCUUGGUGCUUUCUAGAUAUUUUGAAUAACAGUUCUCAUCAACUCCAUCCUGCUUGCCAAAAGAUUGUGGGAUUUAAAACAUGUAGUGGUUGCUAAGGUAGGAAAAGUUGUGUAGUCAUUUGCUGGGCAUAGCUCCUGCAGACACCCUCUGAAGAGGAGUUAAGUAGACCUUCAUCCUCAGCCAUAUCUUUCUGCUGAUAGACCAUGCUUUGCUUCUCUGUUCCAGGCCUCACAUGGUGACACUGUGUAACUUGACGACAUCCCAUUAUUUUAGACAAUAUUCAUAAACCCCUUUUAAGAGUUCAAUAACUUGUGAACAUGACCUAAGGUCACAUGAGGCUGCUGAGCAAGGAUAAAUCUGGGAGUCCUAUAGAGCAGAGAUGGUGAACAUAUGGUCUGCAAUAUGUUAGUCUUUUUUUGGGGGGGGGGUUAUAUUUCAUCAAGCCCUUUCUCA